ACAGGGGCCAGGGCUGGAGUUGGGACUGGAUUCAGAGAGAGAGUCAACGUCGGCAGAGCGAGAAUGGCAGGCCCAGCAGAGGAUGACCCAGAGCAGCAGCAGCAAGAAGCCCACGAGACCGUUGCAGACGAUGGCGAUGAGGGCCCCCUGGGAGAUGGCUGCCCCCAUGACAGGCAGCACCCUCAGACCAGCACAGACAGUGGAGCUGCCUCAAUGGACUCCAGCCAGCCCGACCAGGAGACCUCCAGAGGCGCCAGCUUGCACAGAGGGAACUUUGUGGAGGCCCUGGCAGGCAUGUGCAGGCUCUGUGCGUCCAGGGCUGUGUGCCUCUAUGUGGGGCUGCCUCUCUGGGUCAGGUGUGUGUGUGUGUCUGGUGUCUCACUGUCCCUCCGUUGGAUGUGUGCCUGUGCCUCUGCACACCCACCUCUCCAGGCUGUAUCCCCCUCUGUUCCCAUGGACGUGUCCCUAUCCCCUUCUCCGUGGGGUCUUUUCGGUGGUUCCUCGGGUCGCGUGUUCUUGGCCCCCGUGCCCGUGGCGGGAGGCCCUUCUUACCUGAGUUGAGCCUGGUGCGCGCCCGCGGGAGGGUCCGGGGCAGCGGGAUGCUCGGCGCCGACUAAGGCUUGGGAGCCUGCGGGCGGGGGGCGGCGGGAGGUGGGAGACCAGCAGAGGCGACGUCCGCUCCCCCGGCCCUCCCCCUCGGCCGCGCAGCCUCCACCGGCCGCUCCCGCCGCGGCGCGACCGGGGCGGCCUCUGCCGCGGGCGGUCUGCGGUGAGCGGGCACCUCCUCCCCUUGGGGCCGCACCCAGUGAUUGUCACCUAUUCUGAUCCGGCCGUCUUCUCAUCCCGCUCUACAUGCUCUCCUUGGAGGAUCACAUCCCUGAAGCUAUAUCAUGAAGACUCCCAGUGCUCCCAAGUCUAGCCUUAACUUCUCUCUGGAAUCCUAGACUCAUAUAACUAAGUGCCUACUGUAAUCGGGGCAGUAUUGAUUCCUGGUUCACUUACUAACUUUGUGAUCUUGAGCAAGUUACUAAAUCUCUCUUAGCCUCAGCUUCCUCAUCUGUAAAAUGGUUGUAAUG
rnacentral:lncRNA from 1 species